rnacentral:rRNA from 1 species
CCUACGGGAGGCAGCAGUGGGGAAUUUUGGACAAUGGGCGCAAGCCUGAUCCAGCAAUGCCGCGUGAGUGAAGAAGGCCUUCGGGUUGUAAAGCUCUUUUGUCAGGGAAGAAACGGCCGAGGCUAAUACCUUUGGCUAAUGACGGUACCUGAAGAAUAAGCACCGGCUAACUACGUGCCAGCAGCCGCGGUAAUACGUAGGGUGCAAGCGUUAAUCGGAAUUACUGGGCGUAAAGCGUGCGCAGGCGGUUUUGUAAGUCUGACGUGAAAUCCCCGGGCUCAACCUGGGAAUUGCGUUGGAGACUGCAGGGCUGGAGUCUGGCAGAGGGGGGUAGAAUUCCACGUGUAGCAGUGAAAUGCGUAGAGAUGUGGAGGAACACCGAUGGCGAAGGCAGCCCCCUGGGUCAAGACUGACGCUCAUGCACGAAAGCGUGGGGAGCAAACAGGAUUAGAUACCCUGGUAGUCCACGCCCUAAACGAUGUCUACUAGUUGUCGGGUCUUAAUUGACUUGGUAACGNAGCUACGCGUGAGUAGACGCCGUGGGAGGUACGGUCGCGAGAUAAACGUACGAAGAAGUAGAGNGNGAGAGNGCGACGACGACGACGAGGGAGGAGG